rnacentral:lncRNA from 1 species
CAAUGGCAUUCACUCCAACCACCUCCCCAAUAUUCCCCCUUUCUUUUCAGAUAGAUUGGUGGGCCAAUCAAAUGUUACCUUGGGCCAACUUCAGCUCGCGGGCCCUACCUUGGACAUCUCUGUUCAAAAACAUUAAUGCUCGUGGUGUACGCAGCACUAGCAGGAUUAAAAAGAGAACUCAUUGGAGAUCACAUCAGAUAAUUAAACAUGGAAUUCGACAAUUGGAUCCAGAACCUAGACGGCUUCAUACAACAUUACUUUACUCUCUGUACCUGUAUGGAAGAUCCAUAAUGGUUGGCAAAACGUUCCGAUUUUGGAUGAGCUGA